UACGAAGGGGGCUAGCGUUGCUCGGAUUUACUGGGUGUAAAGGGCGCGUAGGCGGACAGUUUAGUCAGAGGUGAAAGCCCAGGGCUCAACCUUGGAAUUGCCUUUGAUACUGGCUGUCUUGAGUACGGGAGAGGUGAGUGGAACUCCGAGUGUAGAGGUGAAAUUCGUAGAUAUUCGGAAGAACACCAGUGGCGAAGGCGGCUCACUGGCCCGUUACUGACGCUGAGGCGCGAAAGCGUGGGGAGCAAACAGG
rnacentral:rRNA from 1 species